rnacentral:rRNA from 1 species
CCUACGGGAUGCAGCAGUGGGGAAUAUUGCACAAUGGGGGAAACCCUGAUGCAGCGACGCCGCGUGAGUGAAGAAGUAAUUCGUUAUGUAAAGCUCUAUCAGCAGGGAAGAAAAUGACGGUACCUGAGUAAGAAGCCCCGGCUAACUAAGUGCCAGCAGCCGCGGUAGUACGUAGGGGGCAAGCGUUAUCCGGUUUUACUGGGUGUAAUGGGAGCGUAGACGGCAGGGCAAGUUUGGAGUGAAAGCCGGGGGCUCAACCCCCGGACUGCUCUGGAAACUGUACGGUUAGAGUGCAGGAGAGGUAAGUGGAAUUCCUAGUGUAGCGGUGAAAUGCGUAGAUAUUAGGAGGAACACCAGUGGCGAAGGCGGCUUACUGGACUGUAACUGACGUUGAGGCUCGAAAGCGUGGGGAGCAAACAGGAUUAGAUACCCUGGUAGUC